GACGAACGCUGGCGGCGUGCUUAACACAUGCAAGUCGAACGGAAAGGCCCUGCUUUUGUGGGGUGCUCGAGUGGCGAACGGGUGAGUAACACGUGAGUAACCUGCCCUUGACUUUGGGAUAACUUCAGGAAACUGGGGCUAAUACCGGAUAGGAGCUCCUGCUGCAUGGUGGGGGUUGGAAAGUUUCGGCGGUUGGGGAUGGACUCGCGGCUUAUCAGCUUGUUGGUGGGGUAGUGGCUUACCAAGGCGUUGACGGGUAGCCGGCCUGAGAGGGUGACCGGCCACAUUGGGACUGAGAUACGGCCCAGACUCCUACGGGAGGCAGCAGUGGGGAAUAUUGCACAAUGGGCGGAAGCGUGAUGCAGCAACGCCGCGUGCGGGAUGACGGCCUUCGGGUUGUAAACCGCUUUCGCCUGUGACGAAGCGUGAGUGACGGUAAUGGGUAAAGAAGCACCGGCUAACUACGUG
rnacentral:rRNA from 1 species